GAUGAAGAACGCAGCGAAAUGCGAUAAGUAGUGUGAAUUGCAGAAUUCAGUGAAUCAUCGAAUCUUUGAACGCACAUUGCGCCCCAUGGUAUUCCGUGGGGCAUGCCUGUUCGAGCGUCAUUUACCCCCUCAAGCUCCGCUUGGUGUUGGGCGUCUGUCCCGCUUCGCGCGCGGACUCGCCCCAAAGGUAUUGGCAGCGGUCGUGCCAGCUUCUCGCGCAGCACAUUGCGCUUCUCGAGGCACCGGUGGGCCCGCGUCCAUCAAGCUCACCCCCCAGUUUGACCUCGGAUCAGGUAGGGAUACCCGCUGAACUUAAGCAUAUCAAUAAGCGGAGGA
rnacentral:misc_RNA from 1 species